rnacentral:rRNA from 1 species
AUACGGAGGAUGCAAGCGUUAUCCGGAUUUAUUGGGUUUAAAGGGUGCGUAGGCGGUUUGCUAAGCGGGAGGUGAAAUGCCGGCGCUCAACGUCGGAAGUGCCUCCCGAACUGGUGGACUUGAAUGACUCUGCCGUGGGAGGAAUGCGUAGUGUAGCGGUGAAAUGCUUAGAGAUUACACAGAACACCGAUUGCGAAGGCAUCUCACGAAGGGUUGAUUGACGCUGAGGCACGAAAGCGUGGGGAUCAAACAGGAUUAGAUACCCUGGUAGUCCACGCAGUAAACGAUGAUGGCUAACCGCUGGGCUUAUCAGUUCAGUGGCCAAGCGAAAGCGAUAAGCCAUCCACCUGGGGAGUACGACCGCAAGGUUGAAACUCAAAUGAAUUGACGGGG